rnacentral:rRNA from 1 species
AUUGAACGCUGGCGGCAUGCUUUACACAUGCAAGUCGAACGGUAACAGGCCGCAAGGUGCUGACGAGUGGCGAACGGGUGAGUAAUGCAUCGGAACGUGCCCAGUCGUGGGGGAUAACUACUCGAAAGAGUAGCUAAUACCGCAUACGAUCUAUGGAUGAAAGCGGGGGACCGAAGGCCUCGCACGAUUUGAGCGGGCGAUGUCAGAUUAGGUAGUUGGUGGGGUAAAGGCUCACCAAGCCAACGAUCUGUAGCUGGUCUGAGAGGACGACCAGCCACACUGGGACUGAGACACGGCCCAGACUCCUACGGGAGGCAGCAGUGGGGAAUUUUGGACAAUGGGCGCAAGCCUGAUCCAGCAAUGCCGCGUGCAGGAAGAAGGCCUUCGGGUUGUAAACUGCUUUUGUACGGAACGAAACGGCUCUGGUUAAUACCCGGGGCUAAUGACGGUACCGUAAGAAUAAGCACCGGCUAACUACGUG